rnacentral:lncRNA from 1 species
AUCAUCUCUCCUAUCCAUGAGGUCUUCCUCAAGUCUUUUUCUUCUCUUCCAAUUUUUUUUUUUCUAAGAUCUUUAUAUCUAAAAGUUCAUAGAAAGUAUGUAUCAUUUUAUCUAAAGGUAUGUAUUGAAACGUCGAACUGUGUAUCAUUUUACUUAAAGUAUGUAUCAGGACGUUGGAUGAAUAUUUUGCUAGGUGUGUAUUAAUUGACCAUAUAAUAUAUAUUGAUAGA